GAUUUCCAAUUUUUUGUAAUAUUAUUUUUUUUAAUGGGAAAUCGUCUUUGAAUUUUUUUUUUAAUUUAGUUUGAAUUUUUUUUUAUUUAGUUUGGAAAAUCAUUUCCAAUUUUUUGUAAUGUUAAAUUUUUUUUAAUGGGAAAUCGUCUUUGAAUUUUUUUUUUUUUUUAAUUUAGUUUGGAAAAUCAUUUCCAAUUUUUUGUAAUAUUAUUUUUUUAAAAAAAUUUAUUUUGGAUUUCC
rnacentral:lncRNA from 1 species